rnacentral:rRNA from 1 species
GUUUGAUCAUGGCUCAGAACGAACGCUGGCGGCAGGCCUAACACAUGCAAGUCGAACGCCCUAGCAAUAGGGAGUGGUGGACGGGUGAGUAACGCGUGGGAACAUGCCCUUUAGUUCGGGAUAACUCAGGGAAACUUGAGCUAAUACCGGAUACUCCCUUAGGGAGAAAGAUUUAUUGCCGAAGGAUUGGCCCGCGUCCGAUUACCUAGUUGGUGAGGUAAUGGCUCACCAAGGCGACGAUCGGUAGCUGGUCUGAGAGGAUGAUCAGCCACUCUGGGACUGAGACACGGCCCAAACUCCUACGGGAGGCAGCAGUGGGGAAUAUUGGACAAUGGGCGCAAGCCUGAUCCAGCCAUGCCGCGAGAGUGAUGAAGGCCCUAGGGUUGUAAAGCUCUUUCGCCAGGGACGAUAAUGACUGUACCUGGAUAAAAAGCCCCGGCUAACUUCGUGCCUGCAGCCGCGGUAAUACGAAGGGGGCUAGCGUUGUUCGGAAUCACUGGGCGUAAAGCGCACGUAGGCGGAUCUUUAAGUCAGGGGUGAAAUCCCGAGGCUCAACCUCGGAACUGCCUUUGAUACUGGAAGUCUCGAGUCCGGGAGAGGUGAGUGGAACUGCGAAUGUAGAGGUGAAAUUCUUAGAUAUUCGCAAGAACACCAGUGGCGAACGCGGCUCACUGGCCCGGUACUGACUCUGAAGUGCUACAGCGUGGGGAGCAAACCCGAUUAGAUACCCUGAUAGUCCACGCCGUAAACGAUAGAUGCUAGCCGUUGAGGGAGCGUGCUCUUCAGUGGCGCACCUAAACGCUGUAAGUACCGCGCCUGGGGGAGUACGAGUCUGCUAGGUUGAAACUCAAAUGAAUUGACG